rnacentral:lncRNA from 1 species
CCCGCCUCGCCCACCCCCACGACCAACCCCGCAGCUUCUGGAUCUCCGCACGCGGGGCGGGACCGGCAGCCUCCGCGCGCCCGCUCAUCUGCAUACGCCACGCCCUUGUCGUGACGUCCCGGGCAGCCUGUCUUUCCCUUGCCCGGGCGACAGAAGUCGGGAGAAGCAGGAGAGGUCAGCUGUGACUCCUCUGGUUAACAUGAACGCCCGUUUGUAGUUUACAGUUAGCUUGAGGGCGUUGCCUUUCUCCCCGUCUUCUUCGAACUUUGUUCCCGCCGGGAAAUUUCGCUGUCGCGGGCUCGGCUUGGGGUUCGCUUCCUUUGUCUCGGCCGGCCCCCGUGGCCUCAGAGCCGGGCAGGGCAGGUCGGCUUCGCCUUUAGGGUUCUCUAGAUACGACGCAUUGACUGUGUCGAGUGACACAAAGAAAGUGCAAACAUAUACGGAGCAUGCUACCCUCUGUCUGGGAAAAAAUGUGAACUAGGAGCAACAUACACAGUUUUGCCAAAGGGAACAGAAGACCCGUGAACCAGAACUGAUGAAAUUAGCCGCAGGGGUGAGAGGAAGGAGAGAACGCCGCGUUUCGGAGUGUCCCUGCCUUUCUAGUGUAAGCACACCGAAAUAGAAAAAAAAAUAACCAACUGAAAUGACUUUUGAACGUGGGACGUUGACCAUAAGCAUCUUCAAAUCUAUGGAGAAGAACUGCAAAGAAGGAGCUGUCCCAUCGCAGGCUAGGAACUGAUUGCUGCGCUCACCUUUGACCACCCAGCUCACCUGUGACCACCCAACUUGAGACAACAGACCUGCCACCCUGGUGGGUCCACCGAGACAGCAGACCUCCCUGCUGUGUCCAUCAAUCGCUGUGCCGACAGAGCAGUCUGGCGACUAUUGUAAAAGGGACGUUUCAAUCCUAUGUGAAACAUCCUCUUUGGGAGUAUAUAACCACUCUGUGCACCCCACUUCUUUGGUGCCCUUUCUUCCUUCGGUCCUCACAUUUUAGCUCAGAAUAAACUCACCCCAAAUUUUCAUUUAUAGAUUGGCUAUGGCUUAUUUUCGUCAACAUAGCAAUUCUGUACUAAUGUGUGUAUCGUAGGACUGAGCUAAUGAGUAAGUGGAUGUUGGGGGUCAAGGUUCUCGCGGUUGGAGAAAAGAGAUGCAGGUACGAGAAGGGGGAGGGCAAGGAGGAACCACCUGGUGUUAAGUCGAAAGCUGGAAUUGCAGGUAUCAGCUUGGGCUCCUCAUUUUUAGCCGGUAUAGCUAUGUGCAGGAAGUAUAUGUGUUUCCGAGCUCUGUCCCCUGAAGCGGCGUGGAAGCCGAGACAUCCAGUAGCCAUGAGCAUCCCUAGUGCCCUGACCUUGCUUCCUAGGAGCUGUUCCCCACUGAAAAGAACCAGGGCUCUUUGGAGACAGAGGUGAUCUUCAGGAGUCGGGGAAGGUACAAGAUGAGCCUGGAACACCUUGUGCCAGGAAAGAAGGAAAUGCUCCCAAAAUUACAUGGCCUGGCUUGCUUUUUCUUUUCCUUCUUUCUUUUUUUUUUUUUUUUUAAGGAAGAUUAGCCGUGAGCUAACAUCUGCUGCCAAUCCUCCUCUUUUUGCUGAGGAAGACUGGCCCUGCGCUAACAUCCGUGCCCAUCUUCCUCUACUUUCUAUGUGGGAUGCCUACCACAGCAUGGCUUGCCAAGCGGUGCCAUGUCCGCACCCGGGAUCCCAACCGGCGAGCCCCCGGCCGCUGAAAGCAGAACAUGCACACUUAACCACUGCGCCACGGGGCCGGCCCCAAUGGCCUGGCUUUCAUAGGCCCAAACGCAGAACGUUUGAACAUCGGAAUUAUUAAAGACGGUUCUGCAUUACGAACAACUGAAUAAAAUCACAACCAUGUGUUCAAAGCGACAGUGCCUAGGGAAGGAGGGAAAUUCUAUUGUCCUCCCGACAAUAGACUCCAACUAAUAAAUGCAGAAUCAGUGAUGGAAUUAGAGAAUCAACAUCUGGCAAUCAUAACGCCAGAGUCACCACCGGAUGCUAAAAACCACCGCGUUAAAGUUUGCAGAGGAACAGGAUGUUGACAUAUCCCCAAACUACCUCUACACAAAUUACUUACUAUCACCAAGGGAAACCCUGGUGAACCCCUCUAGUGGCGGAUGGUUGCCGUACACCACCUUAAUCGAGUAAUCAACGUCGACACCACCAAUUGGACCAACUGACUUCGUGUGCCUCCAAAUGUGAGGCCCAGAGAAGGACACCGCAUUUACUUGCUAGGGAGGUCAUAAUAAAGUCCCACACACUGGGUGGCUUAAACAACAGAAACGUAUUCUCUCAGGGGCCCGGAAGCUAGAAGUCCAACAUCAAGGUGUCAGCAGGGCCGUGCUCCCUCUGAGACUCCGGGUCGAGUCUCUCCUUGGCUCUUUCUAGCUUCUAGCGGUGACAGUCAAUCUUUGGCUUGUGGCGACAUCACUCCAACCUCUGCUUCUGUCAUCACAUGGUGUUCUGCCUGCGUGUCUGCGUCUUUACGUGGCACUUUCCUCUUAUACGGGACAGUCCUGUUGGAUGCGGGCCCACUCUAGCGACCUCGUCUUCAAAGAUCCUGUCUCCAAAUAAGGUCACACUCAUAGGUCCCAGGGUUAGGACUCCCACAUAUUUUUGGAGGGACACAAGUCAACCCACAUCAGACACAGCGUCACUGACACAGCCUUCCUGUCCAGAAUGCAUACGGGAGUGCAAUUAUGAGGAAACACAGGACGACCCCCAAACUGAAAGAUGUUUUACAAAUAACUGGCCCGUAGUCUUCAAAAAUGCCUAAGUAAUGGACUACAAAGAAUGACCUGGGCGUUCCCUCAGAUUCGAGUCGGUUAAAGAGACCCGACGACUGAACGCAACAGGUGCUUUUGAAUUUUCCUUUGUGAUAAAGGACAUUAUUGGGACAAUUGAUGGAAGUGGGAUAACGUCUGCGGAGUCGAUAAUAUUGUCCCACUGUUAACUUCUUGAAUUUGAUCACUGCACUGAGGUUAGGGAAGAGAAACCUUUGUUUUCAGGAAACACAAAGAAAGGAAACUCUUCCCGAGACAACCGGCAAUCAGGGAGGGUGCCCCGGUCUGUUUCCGGGGACCCGGGCGCAGCCACAGCCUCAGCCUCAGGAGGCCUCCCCGGCCGCCCGGUCCUCCGGCCCGCUCUGCUGCGCGGCCCCGACCGCCCCCGGUCACACACUCCGCGACCGUCGAGCUCACAUCUGGGGAGGACGCGCGUUCAACCUCCACUUGACCUCCCGAAAGACCCUUCUUGUCUAGAAGAGGACAAGGCAAAUCCGGGAGGCCUGAAACAGGUCCCCGAAGCCCCCAGGACAGAAACGUCACGUUUGUGCCCCUUCGAUUUUCAGAGGCCCUUCAGCACCCCUCCCCUAACCCGCCAGCUUCGCGGUGAAGGGACGCCCUGCCCGGAAAGGCUCUGUUCGCUCUCCUGUCACGGUUGCAAGAAUAGGUCACUAGGGAAUCGGAAAGAAAGGUCCCGAAUGAGGAUUAAACCAAGUUCGUGUUAAACUGUUGACGAAACUCUGACCUCCGACGUAUGUAACGUUCAAGCGACACUCUGUUGCGGUUCCUUUUCGCUGAGAGGAAGGGGAGACCGGACCCGAGCCCGGAGCCGCCCCCCGGGGGACCCCGAGCUGCUGGGCGCCGGCGCCGCGAGACCCCGUCUUCCCGGGCGUCCCCUCCGGGCCCCAGACUCGUCGAGUCUCCCGUGGAGACGCGUAGAUCCCGCGUCCCGGAGGGGGCGACAGGCCGCCGGGGACGUCACGACAAGGGCGUGGCGU